rnacentral:rRNA from 1 species
GACGUAGGGCGCGAGCGUUGUCCGGAUUUAUUGGGCGUAAAGAGCUCGUAGGCGGCUUGUCGCGUCGACCGUGAAAACUCGCAGCUCAACUGCGAGCCUGCGGUCGAUACGGGCAGGCUAGAGUUCGGUAGGGGAGACUGGAAUUCCUGGUGUAGCGGUGAAAUGCGCAGAUAUCAGGAGGAACACCGGUGGUGCAGACGGCUCUCUGGACCGUAACUGACGCUGAGGCACGAAAGUGUGGGGAUCAAACAGG